UGGUGGAGAUGCGGGGGAUCGAACCCCGUGCCUCUCGC
rnacentral:sRNA from 1 species